rnacentral:misc_RNA from 1 species
UAACUGCGAUAAUUAGUGUGAACUGCAGAAACCUUGAACACAAAACUUUCGAAUGCACAUUGCGCCAUUGGAAUCAUAUCCUAUGGCACGUCUGGUUCAGGGUCGUCUUAAUAAAACGCAAACCGUUUGCGUGUAUACAUUUAUGUGUUCAUUUGCUAUCGCUUGUGUGUUGCGAAUGCAAGUGUCCGCAUAUGAUUUGAACAUAGCGCACUUUAAGUUAUUGCGCGGCGAGUGAAGGUGUCUGUUACGCUGUGUUUGUUCAGCCGAUACCCACUUUGAAGGCCGAUUGCCUUGCGCCGUGCUUUACUUUUUGUGUUGCAAAUUUAAUUCUUUCGACCUGAACUCAGGCGUGAACACCCGCUGAACUUAA